UACGGAGGGGGCUAGCGUUGUUCAGAUUUACUGGGCGUAAAGGGCGCGUAGGUGGACCAUCAAGUCAGGGGUGAAAGGCCUGGGCUCAACCCGGGAAUUGCCUUUGAAACUGAAGGUCUAGAGUCCGAGAGAGGUUAGCGGAAUUCCCAGUGUAGAGGUGAAAUUCGUAGAUAUUGGGAAGAACACCAGUGGCGAAGGCGGCUAUCUGGCUCGGUACUGACGCUGAGGCGCGAAAGCGUGGGGAGCAAACAGG
rnacentral:rRNA from 1 species